CUCAUGCAAGAAAGUUCAGCACCAUCAGAGAGAAACAAGACAGAGAGAAUUCAUAGAAUGGCUUUAGGGCCUUUCCUCCAGGCGGUGAACCCUUUCCUGAAGGAAGAAAUGGAGAACGGCCCAGAUGACUAAAUCAGAGAAGGACCACAUAAUCCAAGGAUAGGACCCUGAUCAAUGCCCCAGUCAUAACCAGCGUGAGCUCUCCUCCUCAUCCUGCAACUCAGGAAGUCCACAGUGAGUCAGUCUAACCUGAGGUAAAAAGAGACAACUGAACGUUUCAUGAGCCUUAAGACUUGGAGGGCAAUGAUGGAAAGUAUGGACAGGGGCCGGACGCAGUGGCUCACACCUGUAAUCCCAGCACUUUAGGAGGCUGAGGCAGGUGGAUCACUUGAGGUUAGGUGUUCAAGACCAGCCUGGCCAAGAUGGUGAAACCCGAUCUCUACUAAAAAUACAAACAUUAGCCGGGCGUGGUCACGCAUGCCCGUAGUCCCAGCUACUCUGGAGGC